GCUGGGCAUGGUGGCGCGUGCCUGUAAUCCCAGCUACUUGGGAGGCUGAGGCAGAAGAAUCAUCUGAACCCAGGAGGCAGAGGUUGCAGUGAGCCAAGAUUGCACCGCUGCACUCCAGCCUGGGCAACAGAGUGAGACUCUGUCUCAA
ensembl:misc_RNA Metazoa_SRP Metazoan signal recognition particle RNA